CUCGGAGAUAGGAGAAUCCCAUUGACGGCGCGCCAACGGCUGCUGCCUUGCGCUUGCGUCCCGUCAGGCUUCGCUUUGUGGAAUGACCUGGCUUUCUUCAUGCGCAAUUCAGUUGGAUCUUAAAAUGUCCCGAGAUCCAUCGUAGCCUGAUCACCAGAAGAAACGCGGACUGCAGGGAGUCAUGUUGUCUACGCAUUGUGCAAUGCUUUGUGACAUUGAAACAUUG